rnacentral:rRNA from 1 species
GACGGGGGGAUCCCAAGUGCCAUUCUUAACGGGAUGGCUUUUCAUUAGUGUAAAGAGCUUUUGGAAUAAGAGCUGGGCAAGACCGGUGCCAGCCGCCGCGGUAACACCGGCAGCUCUAGUGGUAACAAUUUUUAUUGGGCCUAAAGCGUCCGUAGCCGGUUUAAUAAGUCUCUGGUGAAAUCCUGUAGCUUAACUGUGGGAAUUGCUGGAGAUACUAUUAGACUUGAGACCGGGAGAGGUUAGAGGUACUCCCAGGGUAGAGGUGAAAUUCUGUAAUCCUGGGAGGACCGCCUGUUGCGAAGGCGUCUAACUGGAACGGUUCUGACGGUGAGGGACGAAAGUUAGGGGCGCGAACCGGAUUAGAUACCCGGGUAGUCCUAACUGUAAACGAUGCGGACUUGGUGUUGGGGUGGCUUUGAGCUGCUCCAGUGCCGAAGGGAAGCUGUUAAGUCCGCCGCCUGGGAAGUACGGUCGCAAGACUGAAACUUAA